UACGGAAGGCAGCAGUGGGGAAUAUUGCACAAUGGGCGAAAGCCUGAUGCAGCUAUGCCGCGUGUAUGAAGAAGGCCUUAGGGUUGUAAAGUACUUUCAUCGGGGAGGAAAAAACAAAACUAAUAAUUUUAUUUCUUGACGUUACCCGAAAAAGAAGCACCGGCUAACUCCGUGCCAGCAGCCGCGGUAAUACGGAGGGUGCUAGCGUUAAUCAGAAUUACUGGGCGUAAAGAGCACGUAGGUGGUUUUUUUAAGUCAGAUGUGAAAUCCCUGGGCUUAACCUAGGAACUGCAUUUUGAAACUGAAAUACUAGAGUAUCGUAGAGGGAGGUAGAAUUCUAGGUGUAGCGGUGAAAUGCGUAGAUAUCUGGAGGAAUACCUGUGGCGAAAGCGGCCUCCUAAACGAAUACUGACACUGAGGUGCGAAAGCGUGGGGAGCAAACAGGGAUUAGGAU
rnacentral:rRNA from 1 species